UGAGCUUGGCUUUGCCAGUCUAGGCAUUGAAUUCCUUGAUAACAGUCUGGGUCUCAAAGAGCUCUAGUGAUAUGCCGUUCUAAAGUCCACAGAAUAAGCGAGUGUUUAGGCUACAGAUAUUUUGUGAGCAAAAGAGUUGUACUACCUACUGACAAGCAUUCGUCCAUCUCUUCUCUCGGACUUACGGAAUCCAGUACACAAAGGAGUAAAUAUGGAAAAACUGCUUGAGUACAGAGCGGCUAUCGAAUUCUUGAAAAGGAUUGGCUUGGCAGAUCCAGAGAAACUACUACAAGAGAACCCCUUAUCAUUUCUUAAAAAUUUCGUUAGGGGAUAUCAAGAACAUAUGCCCUUUCAGUGUGUAAGCAUCCUGGCCCAGUCGGCAGAGGAGAAGCACGUACCUACGCUGCAAGAGGUGGUGGAGGCCGGCCUCAGUCUAGAAGGAGGACUCUGCUUAACUCUGAACACAUUCGCUUGCAUCCUCCCUCCGAGUCCUUCGGUUUAAAGUAGAGUUCGUCGAUGGGUGCUACAGUGCUCUUGGAAAACUCCCACAACCACGUAUUUCUUCUGGUUAAAGAUCUCAGGCAUGAUAACGACGAUUACAUCAUCGACGUUUGGUAACGGGUUUCCAUUUGAAGAUCCAAUAGCUGUGAACGAACUUCCCUGUACUCGACACUGCGCUGGACUGGAAUAUAUACGAGUGGCAG